GCCGAUUGGCAAAGUGGACUGCCUGGUCGCCUCUGCGAUAGAGUAGAAUUGCAGAAUGGACUGCCUACUCUCCUCUCCGAUCGAGUAUAUCUAGCAGAAUGGACUGCCUGGUCUCCUCUGCGAUUGAGUAGAAGUGUCUGGAUGGACUGCUGAGCUGACUACUUCCCUCGCUGCUACUGGUUAUCGAGUAUGUUGGUGGAAGUGUGACUUUCUGUUCUGAUUUUCCUCUUUCUGAGCACCAAUAGCUCCAAAACACCUGAAAGAACUUCAGAAUGCAGAAUGUAUGCAAGACUACUGCUAGACUCGACUAAAGAUGCAAAAUGUACAAAAAUGAUGGUCAAUGCUAUGAAAGAUGGAUGAAACUAGACUCAAAAUGGUU
rnacentral:sRNA from 1 species